CGAUGAUGCCCAGCUUGCUGGGCGGAUUAGUGGCGAACGGGUGAGUAAUACGUGAGUAACCUGCCCUUGACUCUGGGAUAAGCCUGGGAAACUGGGUCUAAUACUGGAUACUACCUCUUACCGCAUGGUGGGUGGUGGAAAGGGUUUUACUGGUUUUGGAUGGGCUCACGGCCUAUCAGCUUGUUGGUGGGGUAAUGGCUCACCAAGGCGACGACGGGUAGCCGGCCUGAGAGGGUGACCGGCCACACUGGGACUGAGACACGGCCCAGACUCCUACGGGAGGCAGCAGUGGGGAAUAUUGCACAAUGGGCGGAAGCCUGAUGCAGCGACGCCGCGUGAGGGAUGACGGCCUUCGGGUUGUAAACCUCUUUCAGUAGGGAAGAAGCGAGAGUGACGGUACCUGCAGAAGAAGCGCCGGCUAACUACGUGCCAGCAGCCGCGGUAAUACGUAGGGCGCAAGCGUUGUCCGGAAUUAUUGGGCGUAAAGAGCUCGUAGGCGGUUUGUCGCGUCUGCUGUGAAAGCCCGGGGCUCAACCCCGGGUCUGCAGUGGGUACGGGCAGACUAGAGUGCAGUAGGGGAGACUGGAAUUCCUGGUGUAGCGGUGAAAUGCGCAGAUAUCAGGAGGAACACCGAUGGCGAAGGCAGGUCUCUGGGCUGUUACUGACGCUGAGGAGCGAAAGCAUGGGGAGCGAACAGGAUUAGAUACCCUGGUAGUCCAUGCCGUAAACGUUGGGCACUAGGUGUGGGGGACAUUCCACGUUUUCCGCGCCGUAGCUAACGCAUUAAGUGCCCCGCCUGGGGAGUACGGCCGCAAGGCUAAAACUCAAAGGAAUUGACGGGGGCCCGCACAAGCGGCGGAGCAUGCGGAUUAAUUCGAUGCAACGCGAAGAACCUUACCAAGGCUUGACAUUCACCGGACCGCCCCAGAGAUGGGGUUUCCCUUCGGGGCUGGUGGACAGGUGGUGCAUGGUUGUCGUCAGCUCGUGUCGUGAGAUGUUGGGUUAAGUCCCGCAACGAGCGCACCCUCGUUCUAUGUUGCCAGCACGUGAUGGUGGGGACUCAUAGGAGACUGCCGGGGUCAACUCGGAGGAAGGUGGGGAUGACGUCAAAUCAUCAUGCCCCUUAUGUCUUGGGCUUCACGCAUGCUACAAUGGCCGGUACAAAGGGUUGCGAUACUGUGAGGUGGAGCUAAUCCCAAAAAGCCGGUCUCAGUUCGGAUUGAGGUCUGCAACUCGACCUCAUGAAGUCGGAGUCGCUAGUAAUCGCAGAUCAGCAACGCUGCGGUGAAUACGUUCCCGGGCCUUGUACACACCGCCCGUCAAGUCACGAAAGUUGGUAACACCCGAAGCCGGUGGCCUAACCCC
rnacentral:rRNA from 1 species